UAUGGCGGCCGGCUGAAGGGGAGGUAGGGCCGGGCCCUGUCCGGCCUUGUGCCCCUCACGGGGACCUGGCCGGCCCCAAAGUGCCGGGCUUCACCGUGUCCGGCUGCCCUCCGGCCCUCCCUGAGCCGGGGCUGCUCCUCAGGAAUUUAAUACAGGUAUUUAAUACAGCAGCGGGCAUGGCUCAGCAUUGCUGUCAAUACAGGCUUCAAACAGCAAAGCUCGGCGGUCCGAGGCAGCGCUCCCCAUCGCCGAACCGCCCAGCAAUGCGAAAUGGAGCGUGUUGUGCCCGCCAGGUGUCGUUGGCACCCGGGUGGCAGCAUGUUGUCGAGCAAGCAUAAAAAUGCACCUUGCACUCACCUUUCGGGGAAGCUGAUUCUUUCACUCAGUUGGCAGCAGACCUGCACCAUCAGCACAUUGGAGGAAAACAUGCUGUAGACUCCUGGGUUGUAUCUUCCCCCAAGGACAGCUUUGGCAAGAAGGCAGCUCUGAAGUCAGACGUCGAACUGAUCCAUAAUGUUCGGUGACGGGCUGAACCGGCAGACUUGACAACAGUGGACUGCCUUAGUCCUUAAGAAAAGGACCUGCUCUACAGCUGGCUGGAGGAAGGCGUGGUUCCCUGCAGUCUUCUGUUCCAGAAUAAAACAAAGUAUUGAAACUGU